rnacentral:rRNA from 1 species
CCUACGGGUGGCAGCAGUGAGGAAUAUUGGGCAAUGGAGGCAACUCUGACCCAGCCAUGCCGCGUGAGUGAAGAAGGUUUUCGGAUUGUAAAGCUCUUUCGGAUGUGACGAUGAUGACGGUAGCAUCUAAAGAAGCCCCGGCUAACUUCGUGCCAGCAGCCGCGGUAAUCCGGAGGCGGCCAGCGUUGUUCGGAAUUACUGGGCGUAAGGGGAGUGUAGGCGGUUUAGUAAGAUAGUGGUGAAAUCCCAGGGCUUAACUUUCGAAUUGCCAUUAUAACUAUUAGACUAGAAUUAGAGAGAGGUAAGUGGAAUACGCAGUGUAGAGGUGAAAUGCGUAGAUAUCGCGCAGAACACCAGUUGCGAAGGAGACAAUCUGGCUGUACAUUGACGCUGAGGCUCGAAAGCAUGGGGAUCAAACAGGAUUAGAUACCCUAGUAGUC